rnacentral:rRNA from 1 species
UACGUAGGGGGCUAGCGUUAUCCGGAUUUACUGGGCGUAAAGGGUGCGUAGGUGGUUUCUUAAGUCAGGAGUGAAAGGCUACGGCUUAACCGUAGUAAGCUCUUGAAACUGGGAAACUUGAGUGCAGGAGAGGAAAGUGGAAUUCCUAGUGUAGCGGUAAUAUGCGUAGAUAUUGGGAGGACACCGGUGGCGAAGGCGGCUUGCUGGGCUGUAACUGACGCUGAGGCACGAAAGUGUGGGGAGCAAACAGGAUUAGAUACCCGCGUAGUCCCUGAGCGGGCUGG